rnacentral:rRNA from 1 species
GACAGCAGCAGCCACGGGAAUACGAGGGGGGCAAGCGUUGUUCGGAAUUAUUGGGCGUAAAGGGCGCGUAGGCGGUUUGACAAGUCUUGUGUGAAAUCUCUGGGCUCAACCCAGAGUCUGCACGGGAAACUGUCGGGCUAGAGGAUUGGAGAGGUGAGUGGAAUUUCCGGUGUAGCGGUGAAAUGCGUAGAUAUCGGAAGGAACACCUGUGGCGAAAGCGGCUCACUGGACCAUUACUGACGCUGAGGCGCGAAAGCUAGGGGAGCAAACAGGAUUAGAUACCCGCGUAGUCCCUGUCUCUUAUAC